GACUUUUAAAUUCUUACAUGAUUUGAGUUCAAACCGGUGUAAGCCAGGUUGGUUUCUAUCUUAGAAUAUUUUAAUUUAAUUAGUACGAAAGGACCAUUAAGU
rnacentral:rRNA from 1 species